UUUAGCUCCUGCGAUCCAAACAGGCCCUUAAACCUCUUUUCGCUCAGUCUAGUUAAAUGUGUCCUAGAUGUGGCACACCUUAAACAAUUAUUAUAUAGAUACAUUGGCAGCACUAUGCAUAGUUUUUUGUUAUUUUAUUUCUGUUGCUAUUCACUGUCUGGACUCUGGACUAAUAUCUUCAAAAUGCAAACAGAGGAUAGAGGUUUACGAAUAUGCGAAGGUGCUUGGUAAUUCUCAAUAUAUCCUACUAUCCUUUCAGCCAUAUAAGCUGAUAUAUGCAUACAUGCUUGUGGAAGUGGGGAAAGUUUCUGAUUCUUUGAGGUAUUGCCAGGCGUCUAUAAAGGUACUGAAAGCCUCUGGUCGUGCCCCUGAAUUGGAGGUUUGGAAACAAUUAUUUUCUUCGCUGGAGGAGAGGAUACACACUCACCAGCAGGUAUGACCAUGCCAUUUGGCAAAAAUAUCCAAGAUAACCAAACAGUUCUUUUGGAAAUCAACCAAUUCACCUUCCUCUACACAAAAUUAUUUAAGCAGCAUUAAAAAAUAGUUUAAGCAAAACAUGUUUCAAUAUGCAACUGUAUUGUUUACAGAAGGCCAGCGCCACUUGUUUGAAUUGUUUAAGCAAAACAUGUUUCAAUAUGCAACUGUAUUCAAUAUGCAGAGAUUGGAAGGUGAAUGAAACUGUUAGUGUUGUUGCCAAUAAAACUGCAGAGAUUGGAAGCAAGACCUGGGGGAUCAUGAGAGGAGUUAUGGCAAUGGCCUCACAAAAGGUCGAGGAAUAUACUGAGCGGCUGGGGAGAGGAUUGGCAACGCAGCGAGCAGAACGGUGAGCCUUACCAAAGUUCUUGGGACGAUUGGGACGACCAAGGCAAGAAGGGUGAACCUGCGAAACCGCACCAAAGCAGUUACUCCUGGGCUGGCUAGGAUGAUGGGAAGGACGAUGGUUUUGAUAGUCCUGGUUACAACAACCACAACAGCUCUAACAAGGGGAGCAACCACAACGGGACUUCCGGUGGCUCAUUUUGGAGGCGAGGCCCAUUCGAUGCAGGGAGUCCGACGCGUUCACCGGAGAAUAGGAGCAGUGCCACGAGGCAGACGCGCCAACUGAUCUGCUGCAUCGGGCCGCUCCCACCCCGUCGCGGCUCGUGCCGCACCGCGCGACCGUAACAGAGGGCGCCGGUGUGUGGCGUCCCCAACGGCGCGCCUCGACGCAGACGCGACGGCGGAUCUAGGGCCACCGAUGCACCGCCACCCGACCUCGAUGCGACGAUGAUGGCGCACGACGACAUCAGUCGACGGAGUUGGUGUGGCCCUUCGGCCUGCCUUACGCACGGAGGCCCCCGCGCGGUAACCAGAGAGGAAGAGCGGCGCCGCGAUGACAGCUCGCCCCGCCUGCUCCCACCCCGCACGCGGCUGCGAUUGGGAAC